GGAGAGUAGAGCUCAGUGGUAGAGGUCAUGCCUAGCAUGCAUGAGGUCCUGGGUUCAAUCCCCAGUACCUCCA
rnacentral:tRNA from 1 species